GAUGAACGCUGGCGGCGUGCCUAAUACAUGCAAGUCGAGCGAACGGACGAGAAGCUUGCUUCUCUGAUGUUAGCGGCGGACGGGUGAGUAACACGUGGAUAACCUACCUAUAAGACUGGGAUAACUUCGGGAAACCGGAGCUAAUACCGGAUAAUAUUUUGAACCGCAUGGUUCAAAAGUGAAAGACGGUCUUGCUGUCACUUAUCGAUGGAUCCGCGCUGCAUUAGCUAGUUGGUAAGUUAACGGCUUACCAAGGCAACGAUGCAUAGCCGACCUGAGAGGGUGAUCGGCCACACUGGAACUGAGACACGGUCCAGACUCCUACGGGAGGCAGCAGUAGGGAAUCUUCCGCAAUGGGCGAAAGCAUGACGGAGCAACGCCGCGUGAGUGAUGAAGGUCUUCGGAUCGUAAAACUCUGUUAUUAGGGAAGAACAUAUGUGUAAGUAACUGUGCACAGCUUGACGGUACCUAAUCAGAAAGCCACGGCUAACUACGUG
rnacentral:rRNA from 1 species